GAAACUGAGGCACAAAGAAGUGACACGUCUUACUCAAGUCAUUGUCAGAGGUAGGAUUCUCAUCCCUUCUUUUUGUUACCUCAAGCCCUUGAAUCCCAGCUAUAACCAAUCUUGCCCUUCAAAACACAAGCUAUCCCUUCAGGUUCAGUCCUCAGCUGCAGUGUGGGGUUUGGGCAGCUCUGCAGCUGUGCAAACAGCCCACAAGGCACUCCCCAGAAGCGGCUGCAUCUCCACGUGGGACUAAAGGUUAAAUCCACCCCGCGCGCUGCCCAGAGUCUCCGAGGCAAGGCGCACGAAGGUGCCAGUGCCUCGACCCGGAGCUCUACGUACUCUUUACUCUGCCUAUGUGUGACUCAUCUGAAAUCCUGGCCAAUCCCAUUUGGAAAGAACAAGGAGCUAGGGGAGGGCCACAAUCUUUUUCCAGGGGAUUAUUAUUAGCAGAGGCAACAAUGCCCCUAAUGACUCAGAGACUGACUGGGCCUGCCCAAGGAGUGUGCCAGGAAGCCAACGAGUCGCGGGGCCGGCACACACUACUCAGCAAAUAAUUACUUUGGAAAGGAAGCAAGUCCCAGGGAGGAGUGGCCAGACCUAGGACUCCAGCGGGCUGCCUAGUGAAGUCCGAGGCAAUUUCUGCAACCCAGGGGUCCCUUUUAAUACCUCCCGGGGUUCUGACUUUGAAAGAGGCACAGUCCUUCUGAUCUAUUUCUCUCCCUCCUCCCCAAUUAUACAUCAUCUGUGCCAAAGUGAUUUCCUUUUUUAGUUUUGGACAGCGCCCCCUCCUCCGCCCGUGCAAUAAGGUAUCCCACCAGCCCAACCAGAGUGCUCUAAGAAUGGAAAGAGCACCGAAUUUGGAAUCAGAAGACUUGAGUGUGACUUUCAACUCCGCAACAUCUAUGUGAUCCAGGAUAAAUCCCUUCAGUGUCUCUGUGCCUCGUUUAUCAAAUAAGGAAGAUAAACUCUAAGAUCCCUAUCACUAUAUAGAAAUCUUAAGAACCUUCUCAUUUUACCAAGUCCAGAAAAUUUUCAAAUGUCACACAGCCAAAAUUAAAAUUUUGAUUUUAAAUAACUCUAAAAAUAACUCUGUGGAGACAAAAUAGUGGUCCAGAUGUGAAAAGAGCUUAAUUUUAGGUUUUAAGUUCUUGGCUUUAAGUAGCCAAGAGACUGCUUUGUGAGACUGGGAUAAAUUGGGUCUCCUUCUUUCAAUUUGUUUUACAAGUAUUUAUUAAGCAAGCCCUUUAUAUGUGCCAGGUGCUGGGGAUACAAAGAUAAAGUCACAGUAGUCCCUGUCCUCAAUGAAUUUACAAUCAACAAGUCUAAGAAUAAGAAUGAUGACAUUUCACUUUUAUAUUGUAUUUUAAAGUUUGCAACACAUUCCACUUAAAUGACCAACUUGCAGAAUUGAUAGCCUAAGUUUUAUUAGACCUAUUUUAAAAGAUGCAGAAACAGGUUCAGAAAAGUUAAGUGACUCAUUCAUGAUUACACAGUAAACGUCAGAGUUGGAAAUCUUUGCAAACUGGAGACUUUGGAUAAGUUCAUUGUGUGACCUUGGAUAAGUCAUCAGUUCUGGAUCUCCUGAUUCUUCAUCUAUCCCAUUUUCCAUUAUUCAGGCUAACUGAAUGUGAUUGUAUCUCUGUGUACUAGUUAGCUUUAGGGCUGUUGUUCCUUUAUUUAAAAGGUCACUGGUGUUGAUUCAAAAUUUUAAAAUUGAUUUGCCUCAAAUUUACACAGUUCAGUAUAUGCCAUAUGUUGAUUAUCAUCAAUCAACAAACAUUUGUGAAACACCUACUGUGUGCCAGACACUUUGUUAAGUGCUGGGGAUACAAAGGUAGGAAUAUUAGGAAUCUCAAAGUUGAUAAACACUUUGUAAAAUAAAGCAUUAUAUAAAUGUAUUAUCACUAUUAUUAGCCUAUGGUUACCAGGCUGCCAGUCUGAAGAUGACUUCAUUCCCUGAGUUUUCUAAUGUACUCCUGCUGAGCUUAAGCAAUGUUUAUACAGCAAUACAAGGUACUGGUCAAUAUUUAACAACUGGCUGGGGCUGUGUGGUGGAAAUGUACUGCAGAUCACAAUUAUAAGUUAAAUUUACAUUAUUAAAAUUUUCUCCAUCACUUUUUAGAAAUAAAAAUACGUAUAUAACUUGGCAGCUAGAUGACUCAGUGAACUGUCCUCAGAUACUUACUAUCUAUAUGAUCCUGGGCAAGUCACUUAAUCUUGUUUGCCUCAGUUCUUCAACUGUAAAAUGAGGUGGAAAAGGAAAUGAUAGUAUCUUCACUAUGACAUUUUUAAAAGUUUGAGAGAUGUAAUUUCCAGGUAAUUAAUCAUUAUAUUAAUAAUGUUAGCAUUUUGUUAAUAAAAGAGGUCGGUGUCAUUCUCAAAUGCCAGAGACCCCUCAUGGUGGUAGAUUCACAGUUUAGAUGUCCUUGGAAGAGUGGGUGUUCCUAAGGGUGGCAAUCAACUCUGAUUAACUCUGAAUGAGAGGCAGACUUUAUAAAGAGAAAUGAGGUCACUCUAAUGAGGGACUUUGAGAGUGACAUUAUGUCACUUUUGUACAAAGAGAUUAUUUCUACACCCAGAUCACCCCUAGAACUGGGCACUCUAGACAAAGGAUCUAUCUCCACUCAAACUAGCUUUAGUGGAAUAAAAUGGACAGGAAUUUACCUUGUAAGGCUGAGUGCGGUCUGACCAUGAUUAAAGAGAAACUUAAUUCAACCUUCAAAAAGUGAGUUUUUAAGAUGAG
rnacentral:lncRNA from 1 species